UCCAUCGUUAUCACGGAACGGGGCCCAGAGCUGUGCUAAAACACGGAGAUGGAGACAGCUUAGAGCCCAAAAGGAUGUCUGUGAGGGGACGUGCGACGUCUGGCUUGCAGGGGGAGUAUGGUAGGGAGAGGAAUCCAGGAGAGAACGGACCGGAGAGAUCCACGACGAGCGGAGAUCACAGAAGGAGAUGACUCUGGAAGAACCUUGGUUAUAGUAUUUGUGUUCGGUUUUCAAAGACAAUAAAAUGAUCUCCCGCUGAGGGACAACAACUCUGCCUGCGCUCACUCCUUCCAACCUGUUACAGUCAGGGCUGUAAUGGUCAAAUUGGAGAUUAUUCCAACGGCAGAAUACAAGGCACAGGGAACUUUGAGGUGCGUAAACGCCACUUAGAGGUAAGUAAACGCUAUUUAGAGGUGCGUAAACGCUAUUUCCUAAAUUCCAGAGGUGCGUAAACGGCGUUUGCGUGCGUUUACCCUCCACUACAGCCCUGAUGAAGAUCCCCAUCCAAAUCCAUGCGAGCCUACAGAUAAUCUUGCAUUUUAAAUUUUCUAUUAUGUCAAAUGAUUUCGUAUUUUUUACUUUUUACUUUCGAUGCAUGCUGUAAAUAUAUGUCGCCUAAUUUUUGUACCUUUCACUUUUAUGCAUGCCGGAAAUUGUUGACAAUGACCUGUAUGUUCUAUGAGACCCACCAAGGUGAAUGCCGUCUCAGUAUUAGGGGGACGCGUUGUGGUUUAUCUCCACUAUGGAGUUUUUCCACUUCGGUCGGUGGUGUUGAUGAUUUUCCUACUUUGACUAUGUUCUCGGUGUGGUAAAUGGUGCUUAUGACUUAAAAAUCUUAUAUUAUGGCCAUCUGAGAUGGCCAAGGAGGGAUUGUUACAUAUUUUAAGCACAUAAGCUGCCCCCACAUAGCCACUGGGAAGCAGGAUCGAACACACAAGCUGCAUUACCCUCACAUAGCCACUAGGAAGCAGAAUCGAACAAAUAAGCUGCAAUAACUACUCCAGCCACAGAUGGCAGCACCUUUAGACAGGUGAGGAUGGCGGAGCCAUUACGUCACACCGGCCACGCCCACUCAACAUAGGCCACGCCCACUUUACGAUAGAGCGUUGGAUUUCAGAUGGAGAGGUGAGAGCUCAUAGGUAGACCCGCGGAGAGGACCGGGCCGAAGCCCGGGUCUCGUAGUAGUUCACGAUAUUACUCUCAUACGCGUUAGAUACAAUUCCCUCCCUUAUGCUUCAUAGUUACCAUACCGAAAUAUGCC
ensembl:lncRNA